rnacentral:rRNA from 1 species
UGUGACCAUACCAAACUGUUGCCUCGGCGGGGUCACGCCCCGGGUGCGUCGCAGCCCCGGAACCAGGCGCCCGCCGGAGGGACCAACCAAACUCUUUUCUGUAGUCCCCUCGCGGACGUUAUUUCUUACAGCUCUGAGCAAAAAUUCAAAAUGAAUCAAAACUUUCAACAACGGAUCUCUUGGUUCUGGCAUCGAUGAAGAACGCAGCGAAAUGCGAUAAGUAAUGUGAAUUGCAGAAUUCAGUGAAUCAUCGAAUCUUUGAACGCACAUUGCGCCCGCCAGUAUUCUGGCGGGCAUGCCUGUCCGAGCGUCAUUUCAACCCUCGAACCCCUCCGGGGGGUCGGCGUUGGGGAUCGGGAACCCCUAAGACGGGAUCCCGGCCCCGAAAUACAGUGGCGGUCUCGCCGCAGCCUCUCCUGCGCAGUAGUUUGCACAACUCGCACCGGGAGCGCGGCGCGUCCACGUCCGUAAAACACCCAACUUCUGAAAUGUUGACCUCGGAUCAGGUAAGAAUACCCGCUGAACUUAACGCAUAUGAAUAAGCGGGAGGGAA